UNUGACUUGAGUGCAGAAGGGGAGAGUGGAAUUCCAUGUGUAGCGGUGAAAUGCGUAGAUAUAUGGAGGAACACCAGUGGCGAAAGCGGCUCUCUGGUCUGUCACUGACGCUGAGGCUCGAAAGCGUGGGUAGCGAACAGGAUUAGAUACCCUGGUAGUCCACGCCGUAAACGAUGAGUGCUAGGUGUUAGGCCCUUUCCGGGGCUUAGUGCCGGAGCUAACGCAAUAAGCACUCCGCCUGGGGAGUACGACCGCAAGGUUGAAACUCAAAGGAAUUGACGGGGGCCCGCACAAGCGGUGGAGCAUGUGGUUUAAUUCGAAGCAACGCGAAGAACCUUACCAGGUCUUGACAUCCCGAUGCUAUUCUUAGAGAUAGGAAGUUACUUCGGUACAUCGGAGACAGGUGGUGCAUGGUUGUCGUCAGCUCGUGUCGUGAGAUGUUGGGUUAAGUCCCGCAACGAGCGCAACCCUUAUUGUUAGUUGCCAUCAUUAAGUUGGGCACUCUAGCGAGACUGCCGGUAAUAAACCGGAGGAAGGUGGGGAUGACGUCAAAUCAUCAUGCCCCUUAUGACCUGGGCUACACACGUGCUACAAUGGUCGGUACAACGAGUUGCGAGCCGGUGACGGCAAGCUAAUCUCUGAAAGCCGAUCUCAGUUCGGAUUGGAGGCUGCAACUCGCCUCCAUGAAGUCGGAAUCGCUAGUAAUCGCGGAUCAGCACGCCGCGGUGAAUACGUUCCCGGGCCUUGUACACACCGCCCGUCACACCACGAGAGUUUGUAACACCCGAAGUCGGUGAG
rnacentral:rRNA from 1 species